AAAGAAGGUCACAGUAAUUUGUGGCCACUGACUAAAAUAACCCGAUGGAUGUGAGGGGUUACCGCAUAAGAAGCAAACGGAAAAACUAAAAAGGCCUCUGCAGCCAAGAAGUGUUAUACAGUUCUGAAGAGUGGGCUAUGCCCUCCAUUGUUGCAGCAGACCCCAGCAGCUCCUCAUUGAUUUCUUCUUUCUGGUUCUUGUCUUGAGAAUUCAAAGAAUGAAAUCCAGAGACCAGAAUGGAAUUCUAGGGAUGUCCAAGAAGCCAACUCUUCUGCACAUGUAAUGGUUGACUCAACAAGCUAUUCCUAAGGUUGCAGUGUGGCAAGACUGGACACAGCCAAUUCUGAAGAUUGAUUUGGUACAAGAAUGUCUCUGGGUAUACAAAAAGUAAGAAACAAUCUUUUGAAAACCCUCAAGUGGAAUGAGUGGGUGAUAUUUACAGACCAGUGAAUGUCUGGAAAAGGACCAAGAAACCCGGCCUGGAUCUGUGGAAUGAACACAAGGGGAAAUGUCCUCAGGAAGUCAGAUGGAAAAAAGGUUUUCUGGAAGGAGGCAGAACAGAGGAGCUGGGGCACAGACUUCAUGGAUCACAGGCAGAAAGGAGGAGAAGGAAGACUGUAAAAGUGAGACAAAGAUGGAGAGAACACAGCUCAAGGCUUUUUGAGAUCAUGUUCCUGGUACUGUCAUUAGAAGGUAGUUUCCUCCAAAGAUCAGGGAAGAGGAGAUGCAUGAAGGACUCUCCAGGGACCCAGUGGAGGUGAAGAGCCAGUACUGUACGGGCCCUGGGUAUUUGCAGGAAGUUUCUCCUGCGUUUUCCAGUAUCAAGAUUAACUGACAAAAGUAGGUAAAUUAUUUUAGCAUGUGAUUGUAAUUUUAUUUCGUCUAUUCUAUCACUCAAUGAAGCUAGCUGCUUUUGCCCCAGUGUGCAGUAGCAGAUGUAGGAUCUUUAUUAGGAGACAGUUUAAAUGUAUCUCACUUUCAAUAUAGUCACACACUGCAUAAUGACAUUUUGGUUAAUAGCGGAGUGCAUAGAUGGUGGUCCCAUACUAUUAUAUCACCUACUGACAUUGUAGCCUUUAUGAAAAAAUUGCUUAAGGUCACAUUUGUCAGAACAUGUCCAGUUAUUAAGUGAGGAAUGACUUAAUGAAUGACACAACUGAAGAUUUUUAAGAUCUGCCUUUGGUUAAAUUUCGUUGCUUAGUUUUUUUCUGGAGGUCAAAAAGAAUGGGGAACAGUGUAGGUUGACUGUACAGAAAGUUCCUGCUCAUUCUAAACGUAAGUUUAUAUAGACUAAGUGUUCCUGGCAAUUGCUGAGGUUGGCAUUUUCAAACUUAAGCGAGAAUCAAGACUCAGAAGUGGAGUUGUGGGCUGAUGAGAAAAGUCUGGAAAAUAGGCUACUGGCCAAGAUGAAUCUGGCCUAGGUACUUCAAAGCCUCUUGGGUCUAUUUGUAGGAUCAUGAUUUUGAACUAGGAAAUAUCUUAGCACUGUUUUGUCAUAGAUCGGUUUUUAGUGAACUUUGUUAUUUUUUUCUCCUUGAAGAUAUCUUAACAAUAUUCUUACCGUGAGGCAAAGUUUAUGUCAUACCUAUGUUUUGACUUAUUUUAUGGAAUGACCAAGGGAUGUUUAACAAAUCAAAUAAUUUGUCUCAAGUACUUACUAUUUUGUAAUAGCUGUAUUAGAUGUUAUCUUUUUUUUUCUCAAACAAACUCCAUUUAAAAAUUUUCACUAUUAAAUAUUUUGAUGUUUUUAGUGUCAGU